AUGUUAUUUAUGGUCAUAAACGUUAAUUUCCAAGAAACAGGAAGGAUCUUACAAAUGACAGAGCUGCAGCUCUUACAAAAGACAGAGUCUUAUAAAACCCUGUAUUUUAAUUCUGUACUUAUCAACAAGAUCUGUAAAAAUGGCAGAGGGCAACUAAUUGGCUUUAAGGAAUCCACCUGUUACUGCCAAGCUUUUAAGAUAGACACUUUUCCUCUAGUGGCUCAUACAAUAAAACCUAGAGACAUCCCAGUCCUUAAUGGAGUCUGGAUUUGGCUUUCUUUUUCUUCUUUAGGGUUGAACCAGCUGCCCUUUGACCCUGCCAACAACAACGAGCCCCUGCAGUUUGGUAGUGCCAGUGGCCCUCUGGUCACAGAAGGCCUCAUUGAGAAUGGAGGGGAGUCAAGCAAGAAAGAAAGAGAACAAAUGCUCCUUCAGAAUGUUCCAUUGAAUAUUUUUGGACCAAAUUUGACCCUGGGUAACUGAAACCGCAGAGAGCAAAACCAUGGAUACUAUAUUUUAUGAUAAAGAAUGUCUAACAUCUUAUGUCAAGAACUGAAGUAACGGUGAAGCAGUAUACCAGAAGGUGACAAAGUAAUUGUGUAUAUGUUGACCAUUCUAGGUAUUUCAACACAGAAAGAAGUAACCACCUAAUUUGUAGUUUUCUUUUUCUCUGCUCCAUUUCCUGAUAUCCAUUUUACUACCUAUUGAAAUAAAAGUCCAUGAUGAUGAAAUUUCCUCAAAAGGAUUGGGAGACAGUCUUGAUUUUGUUUUCCUAUCUCAAUUUCCUUGAUAAUAGGAGCUAUUUAGUUUAAACCAUGCAGGCUGUGGUAUUUCCAUUGAGCAAUUGCUUGUGUAAUAGAAUUAACUUUAAAAUAUUUUGCUUCUCCUACAUUUGAAUUUUAAGCAAAAGCAGCUUUCAUGUGUAAGCUGUUUUAUGGGAUGUGGUAAGUGAGGGUUGAGAAGAGUGACACAGAAAACCAUUAGAUGUCCAACUGCUCAAAUGGAAUGUGCUAUUUUUCAGGGGAGAGAGGUUUCAGCAAGUGGCAUUCCCUAGCUCCAGUCCCUUUCUUCUGCAUAUUUGAUUCAAUAACAAUACAGGAGCAGCAGGUUUUAUGAAAUAUUGAUUGUAUGUCAACCUCUAUAACCAAGUGUUUUACAUAUAUAAAUUCAAGCAAACUUCAUAACAAAUCUGUAAAAUAGAUACCAUUUUCUCCUUUGUUUAUAGAUAAGAAAACUGAGGCUUAGAAAACUUAUGAAACUUUUUCAGGCUACAGUUAGUAUAUAGUAGUUCAGUUCAGUCACUCAGUUGCGUCCGACUGUUUGCGACCCCAUGAACCGCAGCAUGCCAGGCCUCCCUGUCCAUCACCAACU
rnacentral:lncRNA from 1 species